AAAGGGAGGGCCUCUGGGUCACCUCCCACCCGUGUCUAUCGUACCUUGUUGCUUCGGCGGGCCCGCCGUUUCGACGGCCGCCGGGGAGGCCUUGCGCCCCCGGGCCCGCGCCCGCCGAAGACCCCAACAUGAACGCUGUUCUGAAAGUAUGCAGUCUGAGUUGAUUAUCGUAAUCAGUUAAAACUUUCAACAACGGAUCUCUUGGUUCCGGCAUCGAUGAAGAACGCAGCGAAAUGCGAUAAGUAAUGUGAAUUGCAGAAUUCAGUGAAUCAUCGAGUCUUUGAACGCACAUUGCGCCCCCUGGUAUUCCGGGGGGCAUGCCUGUCCGAGCGUCAUUGCUGCCCUCAAGCACGGCUUGUGUGUUGGGCCCCCGUCCCCCUCUCCCGGGGGACGGGCCCGAAAGGCAGCGGCGGCACCGCGUCCGGUCCUCGAGCGUAUGGGGCUUUGUCACCUGCUCUGUAGGCCCGGCCGGCGCCAGCCGACACCCAACUUUAUUUUUCUAAGGUUGACCUCGGAUCAGGUAGGGAUACCCGCUGAACUUAAGCAUAUCAAUAAGAAGGAGGAAAAGGGAGGGCCUCUGGGUCACCUCCCACCCGUGUCUAUCGUACCUUGUUGCUUCGGCGGGCCCGCCGUUUCGACGGCCGCCGGGGAGGCCUUGCGCCCCCGGGCCCGCGCCCGCCGAAGACCCCAACAUGAACGCUGUUCUGAAAGUAUGCAGUCUGAGUUGAUUAUCGUAAUCAGUUAAAACUUUCAACAACGGAUCUCUUGGUUCCGGCAUCGAUGAAGAACGCAGCGAAAUGCGAUAAGUAAUGUGAAUUGCAGAAUUCAGUGAAUCAUCGAGUCUUUGAACGCACAUUGCGCCCCCUGGUAUUCCGGGGGGCAUGCCUGUCCGAGCGUCAUUGCUGCCCUCAAGCACGGCUUGUGUGUUGGGCCCCCGUCCCCCUCUCCCGGGGGACGGGCCCGAAAGGCAGCGGCGGCACCGCGUCCGGUCCUCGAGCGUAUGGGGCUUUGUCACCUGCUCUGUAGGCCCGGCCGGCGCCAGCCGACACCCAACUUUAUUUUUCUAAGGUUGACCUCGGAUCAGGUAGGGAUACCCGCUGAACUUAAGCAUAUCAAUAAGAAGGAGGA
rnacentral:rRNA from 1 species